GUGUAUAUAAAUAAAGUUUGAAACUGAAAACUUCAGCACACUUUAACCAUUUCGCCAACGGUUUCAGGAAUAUCUGAAAACUGAAUUACAGAAGAGUCUGUACAAACCAGCUGCUGAGAAAGAAGAGCAAAUGGGCAUUCUACAUUUUGUGGCAAUUUUAUUGGCAAUUUAUCUGACAGAACAAACGACUUCAUAUCCUUGUGGCAACCAGGCAGAUAUUUCAUUUGGGUUUGGACUCAAAAGAGAUACAAAUGAAAGAUUGAAUUAUUUAAAAGAGAAAAUCAAAUGUAUAGUCACAGAAAUGGAAGAAAUAAAAGAAAGAAGCAGACGAGUUAAAUUGGAAAAUAAUCACAGUUAAGGAAAUUGUAAUUGUUGCGAAAAAAAACCAACGAAUGUUUAUUGUGAUAUCUAAUUUAGUACAUUAUUGGAGAGAGUAUGAGUUUUAUGUUUGAAAGAACAAAAGUUUGCA